rnacentral:rRNA from 1 species
GGCGGCGUGCCUAAUACAUGCAAGUCGAGCGCAGGAAACAAGUAGAUCCCUUCGGAGUGACGCUUGUGGAAUGAGCGGCGGACGGGUGAGUAACACGUGGGCAACCUACCUUGUAGACUGGGAUAACUCCGGGAAACCGGAGCUAAUACGGGAUGAUCAUUUGAAUCGCAUGAUUGAAAUGUAAAAGUGGGGAGUAAUCCUCACACUAUGAGAUGGGCCCGCGGCGCAUUAGCUAGUUGGUAAGGUAAUGGCUUACCAAGGCAACGAUGCGUAGCCGACCUGAGAGGGUGAUCGGCCACACUGGAACUGAGACACGGUCCAGACUCCUACGGGAGGCAGCAGUAGGGAAUCAUCCGCAAUGGGCGAAAGCCUGACGGUGCAACGCCGCGUGAACGAUGAAGGUUUUCGGAUCGUAAAGUUCUGUUAUGAGGGAAGAACAAGUGCCGUUCGAAUAGGGCGGCACCUUGACGGUACCUCACGAGAAAGCCCCGGCUAACUACGUG